rnacentral:lncRNA from 1 species
AAUUCUUAAUAGUUGUAGUUGGUCAGAGUCCAUGUCUUUAAUUAGACUAAGAUGGACCUUGAUCGUAGCUCUAUGGUCGAACCCAAGUCUAUAAGUUGAUCGAAUUAAAAUCGACUAAUCAGUUGAUGUCUAAGAUAAAUAUGGCAGUCUUAAUCGAUGAUCAUUAAUCGAGAGCUACUCAUAUAGAUUGAGUCUAUGGGAAGUUAAUGGCA